rnacentral:rRNA from 1 species
UACGUAGGGUGCGAGCGUUAAUCGGAAUUACUGGGCGUAAAGGGUGCGUAGGUGGUUAAUUAAGUUAUCUGUGAAAUCCCUGGGCUCAACCUGGGCAGGUCAGAUAAUACUGGUUAACUCGAGUAUGGGAGAGGGUAGUGGAAUUUCCGGUGUAGCGGUGAAAUGCGUAGAGAUCGGAAGGAACACCAGUGGCGAAGGCGGCUACCUGGCCUAAUACUGACACUGAGGCACGAAAGCGUGGGGAGCAAACAGG